rnacentral:rRNA from 1 species
CAGUCGCCGCGGUAACACGAAGGGGGCUAGCGUUGUUCGGAAUCACUGGGCGUAAAGCGCACGUAGGCGGAUUUUUAAGUCAGGGGUGAAAUCCCGAGGCUCAACCUCGGAACUGCCUUUGAUACUGGAGAUCUUGAGUUCGGAAGAGGUUGGUGGAACAGCUAGUGUAGAGGUGAAAUUCGUAGAUAUUAGCUAGAACACCGGUGGCGAAGGCGGCAACCUGGCUCAUUACUGACGCUGAGGCGCGAAAGCGUGGGGAGCAAACAGGAUUAGAUACCCGGGUAGUCCCUGUCUCUUAUAC